AGUGAACGCUGGCGGUAGGCCUAACACAUGCAAGUCGAACGGCAGCACAGUAAGAGCUUGCUCUUACGGGUGGCGAGUGGCAGACGGGUGAGGAAUGCAUCGGAAUCUACUCUGUCGUGGGGGAUAACGUAGGGAAACCUACGCUAAUACCGCAUACGACCUACGGGUGAAAGCAGGGGAUCUUCGGACCUUGCGCGAUUGAAUGAGCCGAUGCCCGAUUAGCUAGUUGGCGGGGUAAGAGCCCACCAAGGCGACGACCGGUAGCUGGUCUGAGAGGAUGAUCGGCGACACUGGAACUGAGACACGGUCCAGGCUCCUACGGGAGGCAGCAGUGGGGAAUAUUGGACAAUGGGCGCAAGCCUGAUCCAGCCAUACCGCGUGGGUGAAGAAGGCCUUCGGGUUGUAAAGCCAUUUUGUUGGGAAAGAAAAGCAUUCGGUUAAUACCCGAUUGUUCUGACGGUACCCAAAGAAUAAGCACCGGCUAACUUCGU
rnacentral:rRNA from 1 species